ACUAAUUUAUUUUCCAGAUUUUCUUAAUCUUAAAGAUAUUAUUUAUUGUACAUACUUUUCCGGCCACCACCCUUCCCGGAGCAUUUUCCGGCGAAGUCAAAACCACCCCCCAAAUCCCAUUUCGUUUUCCCCAUUUUUUCCAGAGACCCUCCUCCCUUCCUCCACCUAGAAAACACCAUAGCAGUCAACCAUCACCUAUUUCUGGCCAAAUCUUUGCCAGACCCACCACAAGAAGACCCCAGUCCCUCUUAUUUCAUGUUGUCACCAGCAACCAAACUAACCCAUCAUCCCAUUUCCUCCUUCUACAGCGAAUAAGAGCCAGAAACUCCAAAACUCCAUCCCCGUGUUUCCCCUUUGAUCGCUACAACAAAGUAGCUCUUGUGAGGAGCUUCAAGCUCCGAUGAACUAAAGCAAAAUAAGAGCUAAAUGGAAUGGUCCCUUCCCCUUUUUCUCUUUACGGUUUUGAUUCAUUUUGUAGGUAUUCCGUCCAACUCUUUCACUUUUUUUUCGGCGUGGGUACAUCACCGGCGAAUAAUAAAGUUGCUGCUCAAAGCUCCGGUUAGAAAUGAAUUCAGAUCUGUCCGGAAAUGGAUACGUAGGCUCUAUCAAGGCUCGGUCAUCUUCCCCGUAAGCAUUCCAAAUUUUUAAUACAGAAACUGGGGCAAAAUUUUUGCGAAAGUCUUCAAAAAAUUUACAAUGGAGAAAGUUGUUAAACACCAGAGGUUUGUUGAAGCUGAAACAGGGGCAAAAUUUUUAAGGAAUGCCCAUAAAAAUUCCAUCAAGGUUGUACACAGACUCCAUAAUUUAUUAAGCUUCACUCUCAGUUAGUUCAUAUAUUUUGCUUUAAUUUUUUUAUAUGAUGAUAUUCAUUGUAUAACUUUGAUUUUUAUUUAUCCAGCAUUUCAUUACAAAAGAUGGUUUUAUUUGAAAUUUUUUAAGUUGGGUUGUCUA